UGGUCAGAAAGCUUUUAACUCUUAGUC
rnacentral:piRNA from 1 species